GAUAAACGCUGGCGGCGUGCCUAAUACGUGCAAGUCGAACGCAUAGCGAAAGGUGCUUGCACCUUUCAAGUGAGUGGCGAACGGGUGAGUAACACGUGGACAACCUACCUCAAGGCUGGGGAUAACAUUUGGAAACAGAUGCUAAUACCGAAUAAAACUUAGUGUCGCAUGACACACAGUUAAAAGGCGCUUCGGCGUCACCUAGAGAUGGAUCCGCGGUGCAUUAGUUAGUUGGUGGGGUAAAGGCCUACCAAGACAAUGAUGCAUAGCCGAGUUGAGAGACUGAUCGGCCACAUUGGGACUGAGACACGGCCCAAACUCCUACGGGAGGCUGCAGUAGGGAAUCUUCCACAAUGGGCGAAAGCCUGAUGGAGCAACGCCGCGUGUGUGAUGAAGGCUUUCGGGUCGUAAAGCACUGUUGUAUGGGAAGAACAGCUAGAAUAGGAAAUGAUUUUAGUUUGACGGUACCAUACCAGAAAGGGACGGCUAAAUACGUG
rnacentral:rRNA from 1 species